rnacentral:rRNA from 1 species
UGGGGAAACCCAGUGUGUUUCGACACACUAUCAUUAACUGAAUCCAUAGGUUAAUGAGGCGAACCGGGGGAACUGAAACAUCUAAGUACCCCGAGGAAAAGAAAUCAACCGAGAUUCCCCCAGUAGCGGCGAGCGAACGGGGAGGAGCCCAGAGCCUGAAUCAGUGUGUGUGUUAGUGGAAGCGUCUGGAAAGGCGUGCGAUACAGGGUGACAGCCCCGUACACAAAAAUGCACAUAUUGUGAGCUCGAUGAGUAGGGCGGGACACGUGGUAUCCUGUCUGAAUAUGGGGGGACCAUCCUCCAAGGCUAAAUACUCCUGACUGACCGAUAGUGAACCAGUACCGUGAGGGAAAGGCGAAAAGAACCCCGGCGAGGGGAGUGAAAAAGAACCUGAAACCGUGUACGUACAAGCAGUGGGAGCCUCUUAAUGGGGUGACUGCGUACCUUUUGUAUAAUGGGUCAGCGACUUAUAUUCUGUAGCAAGGUUAACCGAAUAGGGGAGCCGAAGGGAAACCGAGUCUUAACUGGGCGUUAAGUUGCAGGGUAUAGACCCGAAACCCGGUGAUCUAGCCAUGGGCAGGUUGAAGGUUGGGUAACACUAACUGGAGGACCGAACCGACUAAUGUUGAAAAAUUAGCGGAUGACUUGUGGCUGGGGGUGAAAGGCCAAUCAAACCGGGAGAUAGCUGGUUCUCCCCGAAAGCUAUUUAGGUAGCGCCUCGUGAAUUCAUCUCCGGGGGUAGAGCACUGUUUCGGCAAGGGGGUCAUCCCGACUUACCAACCCGAUGCAAACUGCGAAUACCGGAGAAUGUUAUCACGGGAGACACACGGCGGGUGCUAACGUCCGUCGUGAAGAGGGAAACAACCCAGACCGCCAGCUAAGGUCCCAAAGUCAUGGUUAAGUGGGAAACGAUGUGGGAAGGCCCAGACAGCCAGGAUGUUGGCUUAGAAGCAGCCAUCAUUUAAAGAAAGCGUAAUAGCUCACUGGUCGAGUCGGCCUGCGCGGAAGAUGUAACGGGGCUAAACCAUGCACCGAAGCUGCGGCAGCGACACUAUGUGUUGUUGGGUAGGGGAGCGUUCUGUAAGCCUGUGAAGGUGGCCUGUGAGGGUUGCUGGAGGUAUCAGAAGUGCGAAUGCUGACAUAAGUAACGAUAAAGCGGGUGAAAAGCCCGCUCGCCGGAAGACCAAGGGUUCCUGUCCAACGUUAAUCGGGGCAGGGUGAGUCGACCCCUAAGGCGAGGCCGAAAGGCGUAGUCGAUGGGAAACAGGUUAAUAUUCCUGUACUUGGUGUUACUGCGAAGGGGGGACGGAGAAGGCUAUGUUGGCCGGGCGACGGUUGUCCCGGUUUAAGCGUGUAGGCUGGUUUUCCAGGCAAAUCCGGAAAACCAAGGCUGAGGCGUGAUGACGAGGCACUACGGUGCUGAAGCGACAAAUGCCCUGCUUCCAGGAAAAGCCUCUAAGCAUCAGGUAACAUCAAAUCGUACCCCAAACCGACACAGGUGGUCAGGUAGAGAAUACCAAGGCGCUUGAGAGAACUCGGGUGAAGGAACUAGGCAAAAUGGUGCCGUAACUUCGGGAGAAGGCACGCUGAUAUGUAGGUGAAGCGACUUGCUCGUGGAGCUGAAAUCAGUCGAAGAUACCAGCUGGCUGCAACUGUUUAUUAAAAACACAGCACUGUGCAAACACGAAAGUGGACGUAUACGGUGUGACGCCUGCCCGGUGCCGGAAG